rnacentral:rRNA from 1 species
GACGAACGCUGGCGGCGUGCCUAAUACAUGCAAGUAGGACGCAGUUGCGAACGGGUGAGUAACGCGUAGGUAACUACCUAUUAGAGGGGGAUAACUAUUGGAAACGAUAGCUAAUACCGCAUACUAGUAGAUGGACCUGCGUUGUAUUAGCUAGUAGGUAGGGUAAUGGCCUACCUAGGCAACGAUACAUAGCCGACCGUGAAGGGUGGUCGGCCAAAACGGGACGGAGACACGGCCCAGAAUCCUUCGGGAGGCAGUAGUAGGGAAUCUUUGGCAAUGGGGGGAACCCUGACCGAGCAACGCCGCGGGAGUGAAGAAGGUUUUCGGAUCGUAAAGCUCUGUUGUGAAGGAAGCGGUACUUAACCAGAAAGGGACGGCUAACUACGUGCCAGCCGCCGCGGUAAUUC